rnacentral:misc_RNA from 1 species
AAAGUCGUAACAAGGUAACCGUAGGUGAACCUGCGGUUGGAUCAUUAAUAAAUUAUCUUGUGUUGGCCUUUUUCUUGAAAGAGAUUUAAGGCCUUCCAACCCCAAUUGUGAACUUUGAAUGUAUUUUUGGGAGACUUUGGUCUCCCAACGAAUCCUUUACUGGAUUUAAAACUUUUAAGCCUAUUUGAAUAACUUGUCUUUAUCGUUUUUAAUUAAAUUAAUAUAAAACAACUUUUGACAACGGAUCUCUAGGCUCUC